CAGAAAGGAAGCUAUGGACUGGU
rnacentral:piRNA from 1 species